UGAUGGUGCACUGCGGAGGCAGGCCACGGAGAAUGGCGUGGUGCAUCGUGCUCUCGUCCCACUGGCCGCCGGCCACGAUUAUAUUGCUACGGAGCUGCUCUGCCUGCUGAACGAAGUCAGUGGUCGUCUUCCCAUCGCGCAUGUUCAGCUGCUUCCGCGGCUCCAACAGGCUCAGCCAGGCCUGGGAUGCAGAACGCAACUGUUGCUGUAAGAGCUGCAUGGCGGCGAGGGUGGUCUGGCAAUUCCUGAGCAACUGCUUGAUGGGCAGUUCACAGGACAGAUGCAGGUAGCCGAGCGCCUGUGCGUCCUCCUCCAGGGCGUCUUGGGCGUUGCGGCCCGGAGGUGACGGGUGUUUAUGUAGUCUUCAACUUGGAUGUUGCAAGGAAAUCGCCUAAGUCGCCGAGCCACUGGGAGUAGUUUGACCCAUCCGAGAGGAGGACACCCUUACAUCCCUUCCCCAUGAUGGUUGCCUAGCGAGCAUGACUGAUCAAGCCGCAUUCCCCGCCGCAUUUCUGGCAACUAGUUGAUGGUAUGAUGCAUCGUUGUUGCGGCGUACGAUGGCUCCUGAUGCGAUUUAUGCCCUUUCAGCCUCCCAGGCAUGUCCCCACAACUGCCUCACAGCCACCGACACAUCUCACGGCGGGGCUUUAAUUGUGUGCGUGUUGGAUGCUCCUAUUCCUGCCGCCUUUCUAACAACUAGUUAAUGUUAUGUUGGAUGCUCCAUUCCCCAGCAGCCUUCCCCGUCACAUUUCGGCAAAUAGUUGAUGGCGUCAUACAUCGUUGGCACGGUGUAAGACAGUGCCUGAUGCGAUUUAUGCGUCCGGAAGCCCUUUCAGCCUCCCAGGCAUGUCCCCACAACUGCCUCACAGCCAGCGGGGGUCUAAUUGCGUGCGCGUUCACAUGCGGCAUAUGUCCCGCCACCUUUCUGGCAUCUAUUGAUGGUAUGAUGAAUCGUUGUGCGAUGUUAGGCUGCGCCUGAUGCGAUCUCGUUUGCGGAAGGGCCCCCUGAGUGCUGCCAAGCAUGUUAUUCUCUCAUGAGACUGCGUGAAGGUUCACGAACUGAGUAUGCGACCAACACAUAAAACAUCGCGUGUGAAUUGUUAUGUCAUGUGAUUAAUCAAAGUAAAUCGUGUGUGUUUGGUGUGUUAGGCCGCAGUAAACUUGACGCAACGAGCCUUCAUUCGCCUGAAACGCAACAUUUGUCUGCAUGCGAAUUGCGUUGCGACAUGUGUGCGUUUGGUGUGUGUUAGGCCGCGUUAAGCUUUAUGCAAUCAGCCUUCAUACGCAUGAAACGCAACAUGUAUUCGCAUGUGAAUAGCCUUGCGGACUGUAUGCGUUUGAUGUGCGAUUGGACGCGUAUUGCUUUACGCAUUGUCUCCCCACACACACGAAUCGCAAUAUGGAAUCGCAUGCGUAUCGCCUUGCUACACAUGCGCGUAUGCUUCGCGUUUCAACAUACGCACGGAUGAAUUGCUCAAGUCGACCAAAACGACACAAGUUUAUUUCCAAAUGAACCUUUACAAUCUGAAAAUUAUAAAUUUAAAAGUUUUAGCCAGGAGGGUCGAUUUCCGCUUUUUCAUAGCCGUUGUGCGUUAGCUCUUAGCUCCAUAGCUCUUUGCGUUACAAAAACAUGCUCAUUCGCACCUAACGCUAAGAUUCGCACCGUUACGCGAACUAACGCGAACUAACGCGGACUUAACGCGUUAAUCACCCGUCGUCAUAGUGUGUCGUGGUCAUGGCGAGCAUGACCACAAUGCUGAACGUCAGCGAUUGUACCGACAAUGACAACAUUUACUAGCUUUAUAUUCACUCGCAGUCCAAGGCUUUAAUGAAGGUAUUGACUCAAGGAUCAGUCUAUCACAACGAUAACGGCGAAGGAAAAGAAGCCAAACUAACCUUACAAAUUGUGAAAAGAAGAAGUCAUAUGUAAUACAAAGUAUAUGCUAUUUAUGUACUGGGCUAAAUACUGGCUGAACAGCGACGCAGAUCGGUCGUGCGAUGAUGCCGUGCGAAAUCUUGCCGCCGCCAAAAAGUGCGUAACAGCACUACCUACAUUUUCGUUUUUAUGGCAUUGUAAAUUUGCAUUUGAUUAAGUUGGUUCACCACUUUUGGCAGGCAAAAUGGACGCAGACGCGGAACACAGUGCUUUACCACACAGCAUCAAGCACGCUACAAGGCGAAAGAUCAAUAUGCUUAAACUUGCUGUCAUAUACUUAAAACAAAUUGUUGGCAGAGCCAGCGACGGAUAGAUUUCCCUUUAGGCCGUACGACUUGAGGGCCUUGUUCAUUGGCCUUCUUCCCUAUAGAGACUGUACGGCAGUAUCAUUUUUUACCUAAGAGGUUACCUUUUUAGAGUUAGAAAUAAAGGAAGAAUCAUUUUUUACCUAAGAGUUACAGCUUUUCAGAAAGAACUAACAGCAACUACGACUAUUAUAAAUUUUUGGCCGAUCAUUGGCGAGCGCAAUAAUGAGCGGUAGCAAUGAUACUCAAAAAGGCUGCGGAUAUUCAAUUAUUCUGAAAGAACACGGGUCCCGUGCUGGACCCCGUACACAUAGUGUCGUAAUGUAGUGUCUCACGGGCGGGACCUCCCGUCUCAUUAGCAGCAGCAGGAGGACCCUGCAACGUGCAAGGUAGGGAUUUUUUUUAUCGUCGUUGUCCUCCAGCCUGCCUGCCUGCUGGGUACACGAAGGACACGAGGACUCCUUACAGCAAGAGAGUAACAAUCCCUGGUGGCCAACCACGGACGGAACUCUUCAAACAAGAAGCAAUUCCGUGUGUGUGGUUCAUAUACCCCCCCUGGCGGACGGUGGAACCGUCCAUGGCGGACGGUCUGCCGGACGGUCGACCGUCCGGCACAGCUUUCCGGGCACACAUACCAACACAUACCAACGUAUUUUUGCACGAAGCAAAAGACAUUUUGUUGUAGAUUAUCCUGGUCCUCGGGGCGCGCGCGGGCGUGGAGCACGCGCAGAGAUUUCUUGCGCAAGCCGGCAGCACGGCAUGCAAACUGCGUCCAGAUGAGCCCUUUACCCUUGCAAUUUGCUGAGCUUAUAGUGAAUUAAAGUUUUAUAAUCUUUUCAUGGAUAAUGUAAUGCAAUGUGCUAUACUGGGGGCUACAUCGAUGCAAGCGCUAGGCGCCAGCAAAUGCAUGAAAUGUAAACAAAGCUAAAACUAGCAUUCGGCUAAGUCAAUUAGAUGUAGGAGCAUAUUUAUCUGGCGGUUUGGGGCCAGGAUUGGACCGCAGCCAUGGGCGACCUGUGUGCAUGGNNNNNNNNNNNNNNNNNNNNNNNNNNNNNNNNNNNNNNNNNNNNNNNNNNGAGCUGCUUCUGCUGCUGCCCGAGCCGCUGCCACUGCUGCCGCCUGCAGUGCCGCCACCGUUGCGGUGGCUGUUGCUGCAUAGAGCACGGCCACAUUCACGUGCUCCGUCGGCCCUGCUGUUACCGCCAUUGCCGCUGCCAGUGCCCCUGCUGCCACCAUCACGGUGGCGGUUGCAGCUGCCUCAACUGAUGUUGCCGGCGGUGUGCAGCUGCUCGAAUGUGUUGCUGCGGUGAAGGCCGACGGACUCGUCCGCCUGCUUAACGGGACACUCGUGAACGUAGUGACCAGGCUGUCCACAGUAGUGGCAGGUGUCGCCGGCCACCACGGCGCCUGCAGCACCGGCGGUGCUGCCGAUUCCACUGGCAGCACGGCCAGGGCCGACAGCUCCCACCAGGCUUGUCUUGCUUGCUUAGGUCUUAGGGUUGUUCUCCUUCUCACGCAGCAUGAGCACGAGCUGUGGGGUCGUUAAGUUGGGCUGAUACAUCGUCAACUCGACGGUGAUGGUGCACUGCGGAGGCAGGCCAUGGAGAAUGGCGUGGUGCAUCGUGCUCUCGUCCCACUGGCCGCCGGCCACGAUUAUAUUGCUACGGAGCUGCUCUGCCUGCUGAACGAAGUCAGUGGUCGUCUUCCCAUCGCGCAUGUUCAGCUGCUUCCGCGGCUCCAACAGGCUCAGCCAGGCCUGGGAUGCAGAACGCAACUGUUGCUGUAAGAGCUGCAUGGCGGCGAGGGUGGUCUGGCAAUUCCUGAGCAACUGCUUGAUGGGCAGUUCACAGGACAGAUGCAGGUAGCCGAGCGCCUGUGCGUCCUCCUCCAGGGCG
rnacentral:lncRNA from 1 species